GAUGAACGCUAGCGGCAGGCCUAACACAUGCAAGUCGAGGGGCAGCACGUCUUCGGAUGGUGGCGACCGGCGCACGGGUGCGUAACGCGUAUGCAACCUACCUCUUACGGUGGGAUAGCCCAGAGAAAUUUGGAUUAAUACCGCAUAGUAUGCGACAUCAGCAUUGAUGACGUAUUAAACAUUCAUGGGUAAGAGAUGGGCAUGCGUUCUAUUAGUUAGUUGGAGUGGUAACGGCACCCCAAGACAGCGAUAGAUAGGGGCCCUGAGAGGGGGAUCCCCCGACACUGGUACUGAGACACGGACCAGACUCCUACGGGAGGCAGCAGUGAGGAAUAUUGGACAAUGGGCGGGAGCCUGAUCCAGCCAUGCCGCGUGCAGGAAGACUGCCCUACGGGUUGUAAACUGCUUUUAUACGGGAAGAAACACCCCCUCGUGAGGGGGCUUGACGGUACCGUAAGAAUAAGGAUCGGCUAACUCCGUGCCAGCAGCCGCGGUAAAGUCG
rnacentral:rRNA from 1 species